rfam:Schistosoma margrebowiei strain Zambia genome assembly, scaffold: SMRZ_scaffold0000420
ACUCAGUUGACGAGUCCCAAAUAGGAUGAAAUGAGCGUCAAACUGGAU